rnacentral:rRNA from 1 species
GGCCUAUCAGCUUGUUGGUGAGGUAAUGGCUCACCANGGCGACGACGGGUAGCCGGCCUGAGAGGGUGACCGGCCACACUGGGACUGAGACACGGCCCAGACUCCUACGGGAGGCAGCAGUGGGGAAUAUUGCACAAUGGGCGGAAGCCUGAUGCAGCGACGCCGCGUGAGGGAUGACGGCCUUCGGGUUGUAAACCUCUNUCAGUAGGGAAGAAGCGAAAGUGACGGUACCUGCAGAAGAAGCACCGGCUAACUACGUGCCAGCAGCCGCGGUAAUACGUAGGGUGCGAGCGUUAUCCGGAAUUAUUGGGCGUAAAGAGCUCGUAGGCGGUUUGUCGCGUCUGUCGUGAAAGUCCGGGGCUUAACCCCGGAUCUGCGGUGGGUACGGGCAGACUAGAGUGCAGUAGGGGAGACUGGAAUUCCUGGUGUAGCGGUGGAAUGCGCAGAUCNG